GCCUUUGUGGUGUAGCGGUCAGCACGCUGGGCGCAUAUUCCAGAGGUCCACGGUUCGAGUCCCGGCGAAAGCG
rnacentral:tRNA from 1 species